GUGGACAAGCAGGAAAUUGUGGCUGCUCUAGGUUGAUAUAAUGGAGGUGGAGCUGUACCUUGUAAUUAGAUCAAAGGUUUUUCAUUUGAUGAGUGGCCAGUGUGGGAUGGAAUAGGAGGCCAGCAUGAUCAAAUAGAAAGAACUUGUGUGGUAGAGAUUAGAGAAGUAGUUCCCAGCCCUGUCUUCCUGUGACAAUCACCUUUUAAAACAUGUUGACGCCCUGGUGUCAUAAGCCAAUGGAAUUAGAAUGUGGAAGUGGACCUAGGCAUUGGCACGUUUUGAAAAAUUAUCAGGUGAUAUCCUUUGGUUGGUGCUCUGUCUCCAGCUUUCCUGGCUGAUAUCUCUGUCACUGACUAUGGUGAAAACACUGGGGCAUGCUGAUGAAGCCUAAAAGUAACUUGAAGGAAGGCAAUGAUCUCACAGUUCAGGAGUUCAAGCUCCACAUCUGGCUAUGAGAUAAGCUUGGAGCCUACUUGGGAUUUUCUCUCUCUCUCUCUCUCUCUCUCUCUC